AAAAGUCGUAACAAGGUUUCCGGUAGGUGAACUGCGGAAGGAUCAUUA
rnacentral:rRNA from 1 species